GUGCUCCAUAUACUCAUUCACAUAAUGGGUGAGCUGUUGAAGAAAGAAAGCCUCUUAUCAAUAAUAUCACAAGCGUAUGCUUAGAAUAAAUAAAACACUGCAGGAGGUUCAGCUUACCUGGAUGAAGCACUCCACAGCUCUUUUUCUUAUUGCCCCACGUGAUGAGGCUAACAGCUUAUUUGCAUCAGCCGAGAGGAGCAUCCCGAUGAACAAUUCAUGUGCCAGCUUAUAAUCCUCCAAAGUCGAAGCCUCGAGCUUUAGGCCAACUGGCGUGGUCCCAGAAGCCUUAGCUACCUCGGCUAAUGCCUCUCUGGGGAAAGGUUAACAACUUAAGGGACUGGUAGGCUCAGAAUUACUUCUUCUAGUAGGCUCAGAGUUGCUUCCUCGGGGGCUCGACCUGUUUGGCUUCUUUGAUCCCCAUCAGAGGCCGAAGAAACUAAGCUCAAGCGAACCCUCACGACUCUAAAGUCAUUGGCGAAAAGAGGUUCGGGUCCCUCUGACUUGGAAGUCGGUGGCAUGGAGGAACUUUUAAUCUUGAUGUAGGUGCUCCGACCACCCACAGAUGCUGCUGCCCUUUUUUGGUGGGCCUUCUACUCCAGUUUCUUCAGCAAAUUUAGAUCCAUCUCUGCAACUAAAGUGAUCAAGUGGUUAGCAUUUUAAAAAAAAAAGAGUGUACGACUCUGAGGCAGGCAACCCGUGCUCACCUUAAGGACUGGCCUGGCUGAUGUCAACAUUAAACAAUGUCUGCACUGAUAGAAGCUCCUUCAGCGUCGGGACCUUAAAGUUGCGUAAGGUCUCCACCUCUUGCCUCAAGCACUGAUCUAAUGAGGGCUCUUUCAAUACAUCCUCUUGGGGUUCAUCUCAAGCAACGAGACCCCAAUCCUCGCCUGACAUCUGAGAGAUGAAGAUAAAAUGCUCUUUCCAGUCAUAGAUAGCGGAAGGAGCAUCUUGGAUCUGCGGGCGAACAUUCUUCUUCUUUCGUCGCGACACAUACCAUCACCCGCAUGAUCCAAGAUACCUCUUGAGACUGAAGAAAGAGCAAAAAAGUAUGAUGCUGGGAUCAAUCCCAGCCAAUAUUCACACUACGGUAAAACUGCAGAUAUGCGACCAUGAGUUCGGG
rnacentral:lncRNA from 1 species